CUCCUAUUUCCCCCGCUAAACCCACUCCCACCCCCAUUUCCCUCUCUCCCUCCCUCUCCCUGGAUCGUCACCGCUCUCGCCGUCGGUUGUCACCAUCGUUGGUCACCGCCUCUGCCGCCGCUACCAUCACUGUCGCCGCCGCUGUCGCCGAGCUGAGGAAGGCAUGGCACUAGGAGGACGAUCAUGCAGGGUGAGCCCAAGCGAAGAUGAGUUAGCCACAUCAUCUCUUGCGACGAUAGAUUGAUUUUACAUAUUAUUAUUUUUUAUAUUUAAUUUAUUUUAAUCUUUUUAUCAUGUAUAAAUAAUUAAUUUUAAACUAUACUAUCAGGAGGACCAUUUUACAAGAGAGGGCCACAUGAAGAUGUCGACGUAUCUCCAUCUCAGCAGUAGUCGGGUCAUCCAGAGGAAGGCAUAUCAUCUCCUAUCAUGAGGAGGACCAUCUGAGAGGAAGAAUCUACAUGGAGAUGUCGAUACCUUAUUUCCGUAGCUGUCUAUCGAGGCAGUUGAUACUGUCAUUAGGUAGACUUGUGGAGCCGCCAGAAAUGAGAAGCUUGAGGAGUGGAGGAAGGCACAUCUCGGAGAGAGGAUGACAGUUGUCAUCCCAUCGGGAUAUGCCAUGUCAGUUCAGCGCCACAUCAGGGACUCGUACAUAUAUGAGGUUGGCAUCAUUGUCCGAGCGUAUGCUCCACUGAUGAUGUUCGAUUGACGGAGAAUUUUAAGCACGAUUUUGAUAUCAACGAGAUUGAUAUCCCGCACGUGCAGGAGGCUAUCCUUAGGCAUAUGGAGAGAUUGCUUAAGGAAUUUAGAUAUAGACUCUAUAGCCAUUGGAAGGAGGUCUUCAGGGCAUGUGGGCGGAGGGGGCACGUGAGACACCCCACAAGAAUGUUUCACACUUCGAUUGGGAUCUCCUCUGCAAUAAGCCUUUUGCGAUAGGAAUGCACAAAAUCGAUCAAGGCUCACGAUGAUGCAUUGUAGUGGAUCGAAAUCAUUUGCGCAGCAUCAGUAUGAGUGGAGGGAUAUCGAGACAAGACAGCUAUGUGGACAGAUUGAUGUCUACCAGAAGAUCCAUCGUCGGACGAUAGGAGAGUGGCUUCCUGGGACUAGGGAGAGGCAUGUAGGACUGGACGAUGGAGAUACGAUCCUAGCCCAUCGCUGAGGGCUUCACCCCACCCAUAGAUGAUGAUAUCUAUGAUGAGAUGCUUGGUUAACAUGGGACGCGGAUAUUUCUCCAGGCAUGAUCCUCCCACUUCUGUAUUGAGAAUGAAAUCAUCAAUAAGCUUCGCUAAUGCAAAGAAAAGCUCGAGAGUGAGCUCUGGGGCUGCAAAACUAAAAGGAAGUGUCUCAUUUGGUGUAUGCUGGCAUCUUGGAUGAUAGUCAGGUUUCUUCAUCAUUUGGUUGGAAUGUCAAGGUUCACCUUUAAUUGUCUCCUGUAGAACAUGGCUGGGACUGUCAUGAAAGAUUUGGGUUGGGACUACCAUAUCUUUCUAUAAUAGUCAAGGAAAUCAUAGGGUAGAUAAUGUAUUAUCUAUGGAAUUUAUGCAUCAAGUAUUAUAUGGAUUGCAAAUGAAGUUGUCUUAUUCCCUCCUGCAA